rnacentral:lncRNA from 1 species
AGGAGGAGGAUGGGGUUAAUGAGGAGAAUGUGAAAGCAAAGGAGGAGGAGGAUGGGGUUAAUGAGGAGAAUGUGAAAGCAAAGGAGGAGGAGGAUGGGGUUAAUGAGGAGGAGGAGGAGGAGGGGGUUAAUGAGGAGGAUGUGAAGGUUGGUGUUGAAGGUGAAGGUCCGGAAGUAGAGGGUAAUGUGAUGGAUGGGCUGAACUUUGAGCUAACACUUGGACAAGAUGUUGUGGAGGAGGAAGAAGAGGUGAAGAAUGCGGAGAUGAUAGAUG